GUAGGCCCUUGCAAAUACCUGCUGAAUGCAUGGGUAUUUUGGCUGCAUUCUCUUCACCCUCAAGGCGCAGUAGGUUAAAACAUAUGACCAAUCACAAAUAGGAUAUGCAUACUAUACCUCCUCAAUUCAAAAGUAAGAUUCAUAACUCGGUGACAGGUAAGAGAAAAAUAAAUAUUUUGGGUCGUCCGUGUCCGCAACACAGCGUUCGCCAGGUGUGGCCGCCAGCUGGCUUAUCCGGAGGAGAGUCACGUCGGAAUUCGUCUGCAUUUUGCUGCCUUUCCUCUGCCUUGCUUAGGGCCACGCGUGCUUAAUGGCGGAGAAUAAGGCGCUGCCGAAAGAAUUAUUCCUUUCGUGAAGAAAUUUUCGUCACGGAAUAAUGCAAAUGGAAUUUUGACACCACCACGGAAGAAAGCGAGACGCCAGACCCAGCAGAAGGAACCAUCCGGGACUGACUGGGGCGAGGCGAGGGGGGGAGGGGGAAGAGCGGCUGGAUCUGUUCUGCCGAGAAGUCAGAGGCUGGGGAGAUCGCGAAGAUAUUUCCGCCACUGAACACGCCAUUAAGAAAAUCCUUAAGAAAUCCCCAAACUGGAGAGCUUCAAAGACCAGAUUCUGUGUUAGGGAUUUUGGCUGAAGAAUGCCGUAAGUAUGCACUCUAAGCUUGCGAUGACUCUACAGUUAGAGGGGGUGAGGGCACCAGGGGACGACCAGGGGAAGAGCUGUGCUUAUCCAGAAUUACAAAGGGUGAUAUUCAGCCGCAACUCUCGCUGAUGAACUUGUCUUCCACUUCGAAAUUAUGGCCAGGCGAAUAAAGCAUUUUGCAGCA